GAUGAAGAACGCAGCGAAAUGCGAUAAGUAAUGUGAAUUGCAGAAUUCAGUGAAUCAUCGAAUCUUUGAACGCACAUUGCGCCCGUCAGUAUUCUGGCGGGCAUGCCUGUUCGAGCGUCUUUACGCCCCUCAAGUCCCCUGUGGACUUGGUGUUGGGGAUCGGCGAGGCUGGUUUUCCAGCACAGCCGUCCCUUAAAUUAAUUGGCGGUCUCGCCGUGGCCCUCCUCCGCGCAGUAGUAAAACACUCGCAACAGGAGCCCGGCGCGGUCCACUGCCGUAAAACCCCCCAACUUUUUAUAGUUGACCUCGAAUCAGGUAGGACUACCCGCUGAACUUAAGCAUAUCAAUAAGCGGAGGA
rnacentral:misc_RNA from 1 species